AUCAUUCCUGCCUUUCAUCUUCAGCUCCCAAAAUAAUACAUAUCGACUGGCAUCAACGAAGUGUCAGCAUAGCUACUAUAUGUGGUUAACAUGAUGCCGAGUGGUUCAAGGACAAGUUUUGCUUUCAUGAUUGCUUUCGAAAGGUCUUCUUCAGUUGUUUUGUCCAAAUCAAUACUCAACACCACAUUUUAUCGUUCAACAAAUUGAAACUGUGGAGAUUUAUUAUAGAAUCCGGUCACCUUGAGAACAUCUCUGAUUCUGUACCGGUAUAGACCUGAAAAGGAGGAUUACAACACAUUUAGGUGCAUACAACUUGUAGCUUUGAUGCCGAGUUGAAGAAACCUUACCUGUCAAAGUUGUGAAAACAACUUCGUAAUAUUGAUCAAGCUUCACAUUCACAAGAUCGACCGGUUUGUCAAUUGUCCUAGUUUCUUGAGCCUUUCCUCCACCAUCUUUAUUCACAGGGAGAAAUUCAAAGUAGGCCGUAUUUGGGAGAAAGGUGUAAGAGACAUCAAAGGGCUUGCUUAGUGUUGAAACAAAGACAGCAGCAACCAAACAAUGAAACACUAAGAGCAUAAGCUCUCGAACAGCAAGCAGAAAAGAAAACAGAACAGAAAACUCAAAAGCAAAAAUGUAACUGAAUGGAAUGCUUUUACUUUUCAUUUCAUUUGAAAAUAUAAGAGUUACAAAAUUAGAAUGUCAGUUACCUAAACUAGUAACUGCUCCCACCUAUUUUGGCAAGUUGCCAACUAAAGUAAUACAAAAGAAAGCUGAACAAUUUUUAGCCAUUACAUCCAUCAAUUCAAAUCUUAACAACUCUAAAAGUCUAGUUACAUUUAGCUUGGAUGGCAUUACAAAAUGAACAAAAAGUAAACAAAAUAAUUAAGCUACUUCUGGUCCUGCUUGAAUGCUGGUCUGCAUCAUGGCCUUCUGUUGCAUUGCAGUCCAUGCUCAACACUCCUCCUUGGACUGUAGGCAACAAACACCAAUCGAAUCUCGUAAGAAUUCAAACCUGAUUGUUCCAAGAGGAUUUGUCAAAAUGUCAGCCAAUUGAUCUUGUGAACUACAAUAUGCAAGAUUCACAUCCUUUGAUUGUACUGCCUCUCGAACAAAAUAAAAUUUGAGCUUAAAGUGCUUCGUUUUGCCAUGAAAAACAGCAUUCUUAGAGAUAGCUAUUGCUGAUUGAUUAUCAACCAUAAUCUCAGUAGGCUCAAAUUGUUCCUCAUUCAAAUCACACAACAAUUUUCUAAGCCAAAUAGCUUGGCUUACUGCUCCAGCUGCUGCUAUGUACUCUGCCUCAGCAGUUGAUUGAGCAACUGUUUGUUGCUUUUUAGAGCUCCAACAGAAAGCCCCUGAACCAAGAGAAAAGAGGUAGCCUGAGGUACUCCUCAUAUCAUCAAUCGAACCUCCCCAGUCACUGUCUGAGUAGCCAGAUAACUUCAGCUGACCUCCUGUCUUGAACAUCACUCCAAACUUCAAGGCUCCUUUCACAUACCUGAGGAUUCUCUUUGCAGCCUUUAAAUGUGAUGUGUUGCAGCUAUGCAUAAAAUGAGAUAGCAAACUGACCGAAUGCAUAAGGUCAGGUCUAGUUGCUGUCAAGUAUAGCAAACAUCCAAUUAGACUUCUAUACUCUCUUUCAUCCACCUUUUCUUCAUCUCCAUAGCUGCUCAACUUCUGUCCCAUGACUAGAGGUGUACUCACUGGCUUGCAAUUUUCCAUACGAAACUUAGUGAGAAUUUUCAAGGCAAAUGCAUGCUGACCGAUAAAAAUGCCUUGAUCAGACUGGUCUACUUCCAUACCAAGGAAGUAAGUCAUGAUUCCCAAGUCUGUCAUGUCAAACAUGUCUUGCAUAUUCUUCUUGAACUCCUGAAUCAAAUCGACCCUGCUUCCAGUCACUAAUAGAUCAUCCACAUAUAUUGAGACAAUCAGCAAAGUCUCAUCUUUAGACUUCUUUAUAAACAAAGUUGGCUCACUCAAACUUUUCUCGAAAUUGAGCCUAGUCAGAUAAGCAUCUAUCCUGUUAUACCAGGCUCGAGGAGCCUGUUUUAGUCCAUAGAGUGCCUUCUUCAGCUUGUAAACUUGUCCUCCUUUCCUUGGACUUUAAAUCCAUCAGGCUGUUCAACAUAAAUUUCCUCUUUAAGGAAGCCAUUCAGGAAAGCUGACUUGACAUCAAGCUGAUGGACCUUCCACUGUUUCUGUGCAGCGAAAGCAAAUAGAAGCUUUAUGGUAUCCAGCCUUGCCACUAGAGCAAAUGUCUCCUCAAAAUCAAUGCCAAACUGUUGAUUGUACCCUUUCACCACAAGCCUUGCCUUGUGCUUGUUCAGAGAGCCAUCUGCAUUGAAUUUGGUCCUGAAAACCCACUUGACACCUAUGACCUUCUUCUGAUCAGGUCUGUCUACCAGAUCCCAAGUGUCAUUCUUAUGGAUCAUGUCAAUUUCAGCCUCCAUAGCCUUCUUCCAGCUCUUGCUGCUUGCAACUUCUUCAUAGCUUGAAGGCUCAACAAUGGCCACAUUGCAUCUUUGGUAGAUAUCAGCAAUAGACCUGGUCCCUCUCACAGGAGCAUCAUCUACAUUGGCAUUACUGACUUUAUUUUCUGCCAUUUCCAGAUUGCUGUCAAUCUGCUCUUCUUCAAACUGACUUGUGUUAGAGCCAUCUAGACUCCAAAACCUUCCUUUAUCGAAUUUGACAUCCCUGCUUACCAAAAUCUUCUUGGUUGAAGGAUCAAAUACUCUGUAGCCCUUCUUGCAGCUACUGUAGCCAACAAAUAUACCAGGAACUGACCUCUUCUCGAGCUUGGUUCUUCUUUCUGCAGGGACAAGUACAAAACACUUGCACCCAAACACUUUUAAAUGGGAAAUAGUUGGUUUAAGAUCAUACCAUGCUUCAAAAGGAGUUUUAUCAUUCACAGCAUGUGUUGGCAGCCUAUUGAACAGGUACACUGAGGUGUUGACACCUUCAGCCCAAAAAAUGCUUAGAAGCUUGCUUUGAAACAACAUACACCUGGUCAUGUUCAUCACUGUUCUGUUCUUCCUCUCACACACUCCAUUUUGCUGAGGAGUGUACACUGUGGUUAACUGAUGAUGAAUCCCAGCCUGCUCACAUAGCUUCUGAAAUCUUUCAGACAAGUAUUCAGAACCAUUGUCUGUCCUCAAGGCCUUAAUCCUGCAGCCUGUUUGAUUUUCUGCCAAUGCCUUGAACUUUCCAAAAACUUCAAACACUUCUGAUUUCUGUUUCAUGAAAUAAACCCAGCAAAAUCUGGUCAGAUCAUCAAUAAACAGUAUAAAAUACUUACUGCCAUUCAGUGAAGGGGUCUUCAUUGGUCCACAGACAUCUGAGUGCACCAACUCAAGUCUUUCUCGAGCCCUCCAUGCUUGGUUAGCUGAAAAGGGCAACCUGGCUUGUUUGCCAAGCUGACACACCUCACAAACACCUUCACUUGCACUAACCUUCACCAUGUCCUCUGUCAUGUUCAUUUUGUGCAGCAAAUCAAGUGAUUUGAGGUUAACAUGGCCAAACCUCUUGUGCCAAAGAUCAGUAUUGUCAACUGAGCUUGUAUAUGCACUUUUCUCAAGCUGACUCACAUCCAGCAUAAAACAUUUGUCUCCCAUAGGUGCUGAGACAAUCUCCCUACCAUGAGCAUCACUUAUAACACAAGAAUCAUUCUUGAAAACUAGUGAAAAGCCUUUCUUGACUAGCUGGCCUACACUGAGUAAAUUUUGGUCUAUUUCUGGCACAUAGAGCACAUCAGAAAUGAUUUUGUUACUUGAACCAGUGUGAAUCACCACAUCACCUCUACCUUUUGCUUCAAUCAAGUUGCCAUUGCCUAUCCUGACCUUCGAGACAUAGCUCCUGUCAAGGUUCUUGAAAAGGCUCUCAUCUGCAGCCAUGUCGUGUGAGCAGCCACUAUCCACAAGCCAACUGCUCUUGCUGUUAGCUGCAAAACAUGAAGCUGUAAAUGCAUGCUCCUCCUGAGCUUGGACAUCCUCGGCAGACUUGGCAUGUACUGGUUGUGCUUGUGCCUUCUCAUGACUUCUACAGAUUUUCUCAUGAUGACCAUACUUCUUACAGCUUUUGCACUGUAUAUCUGGUCUGGUCCAGCAAAAUUUUUCCAGGUGAUUGGUCUUCUUGCAGUGAAUGCAUGGUGGAAACCUCCUUCUACCGGCAUCUUUCGUUGAUCUUUCCCUCUUUUCAAACCAAGGCUUCUUAGCUUUCUGGCUUGAGCUAGAGCCUUCUCUGACCUUUGCUUGAAAAGCACCUUCAAGACUCUCCUCCUGCCUACUUGCUCUUCUCUACUCAAGUGCAUAGAGUGAGUUAACCAACUCAGACAAAGAAAUGGUUGUGAGAUCUCUCGAGUCCUCCAAUGAGGAGAUUUUUGACUCAAACCUUUUAGGUAAGGUGGUAAUAACCUUCUCAACAACCCUGCUAUCACUGAAAUCUUCUCCAAUGAGUCUAAUAUUAUUGACAGUAGCCAUAAUCCUAUCAGAAUAUUGCUUGAUAGUUUCUGACUCCUUCAUCUUCAAAUUUUCAAACUCCCUUCUAAGGUUGAUGACUUGUUGCUGCCUGGUCUUGUCUGAUCCCAUAAAUUCCUCUUUCAGCCUGUCCCAUGCCUGCUUGGGAGAGUCACAGGCCAUGAUACGAGUGAAAAUAACAUUUGAUAUUCCAUUCUGCAAACAGGCCAUAGCUUUGUGUUUCUUGGCUCGUUCCUCACCAUGUUGCCUGAUCUGAGCAAUGGUAGGAUUUGCUCUUAAUGGUGCUGGCUCGACAUCACUCUCAACUGCACUCCAGAGGUCAAGUUCUUGAAGAUAUGUCUUUAUUUUGACAACCCAAAUGUGGUAGUUGUCUCCAGCAAAAACUGGUGGUGGAGGAGGAGCAAAACUCAUGCUGCCAAGACUGACUUUGAAAACACAAAAAAACUGACUUUUCUUUGAAAAAACUAAAACAUAAACAACAGAGGUCCUCAAAGAUAGGAGGCUCUAAUUACCAUUUGUUGAAACAAAGACAGCAGCAACCAAACAAUGAAACACUAAGAGCAUAAGCUCUCGAACAGCAAGCAGAAAAGAAAACAGAACAGAAAACUCAAAAGCAAAAAUGUAACUGAAUGAAUGCUUUUACUUUUCAUUUCAUUUGAAAAUAUAAGAGUUACAAAAUUAGAAUGUCAGUUACCUAAACUUGUAACUGCUCCCACCUAUUUUGGCAAGUUGCCAACUAAAGUAAUACAAAAGAAAGCUGAACAAUUUUUAGCCAUUACAUCCAUCAAUUCAAAUCUUAACAACUCUAAAAGUCUAGUUACAUUUAGCUUGGAUGGCAUUACAAAAUGAACAAAAAGUAAACAAAAUAAUUAAGCUACUUCUGGUCCUGCUUGAAUGCUGGUCUGCAUCAUGGCCUUCUGUUGCAUUGCAGUCCAUGCUCAACACUUAGGGGUUUUAAAUUGAUCCCGAAGCAAGCUUCCGAAGAACUAUAAUUUGGUGAAACUAAAGAGAUCCCUCCUCCAUAAAAUUCAAGUAAUGGAAUAUAUUGGCUCAUGCUACCUGUACAGUUAGAACUAAUAUAUUUGAUUUUAGGCCAAAGUUUCUUAAUGAUCCCUUCCCAUGAUUUAUCUUCACAUAUUUGUUGAAUCAAAUCAGUCAUUUCAGGGUUUGGCCUAGUAAGGAUCAAUGACAUAGCAUUUCUGCAACCAGCAUCAGUAAUCCAAUCACUGAGAUAACCUGUUCUAAUGUUGGAACAUAAUUCUUUCCAAUAAUCAUCUAAGAAUUUGAUGCUCCUUGGCAAAACUGAUGCAAAGCUUGAACCCAUACGUACGACCUCAUCGCGCUGUAGUAAACCAGUAAGCAAUUGGCAGAACAUACUUUGCUCGUUGUCCGAACAUAAGAUGGCCUCAAUAGGACUUGCGCAAAACUUCGCCAGGCCCGUUUUGAAGCUUUUGGUCUUGAAAUAGAAUGUUGUGUAUAGUGAUGCCACUAAUCCAGAUGGAGUUUCCAUCUCUGGUUUGAUAAAAUAUAGGUACAAUGAUUUUCCUUCGUCCGAGCCAUUAAAACAUCUGCCAAGAAAAAGGAAAAGAAACAUUAAUUAGUUGUUUGUUUGAUUACGUGUAUUACGAUUGUGGAUCUAAUAGUUAUUGCAUCGAAUAGCAAAUUACGACCGCUAUCGGAACUUCACUGUAAUGACAGCUAUUUAAAUGUACUUAUCUUUUUAUCACGAGGUCAGCCAGAAGAGGUUUAUUCAUCCUUUUCUCAAAACUUUCAGCUGUCAUAGGUAUCAAUUUCGGCUGCCCCUCAGAAGUACCAGUGCUUUGGAUGAACUGGGUGAUGCGAUAAGCCAAAAGGAUCGAUGGGGUCUCUUCGUUAGCAAUCCGAUCGAUGUAAGGCUUGAUAUCUUCGUAAGUAAUAAUGGGGACAUUUGUUUUGAAGCUUUGCUUGUCCGCUUGGCCAUUGGGGAAGAAUCUGCUUAGAUAUUCUGUUCCUGCAUUGCUCUUUAGUAUCUCCUCCAUCACUUGUUCUUGUAGUUUAUGAGUAUUGCUGGUUAAAUCUUCCAAAAUGUUCAUGACAUUUUCAUAUAUUUCCUUUAUGUCUGUCUCACCAUCCAUCACAGUUAUGGGGAGAGUGAGAAGAACAAAGAAGAAACGAGAGAGGAAAGCUUGAAGGAAUUGAAAAAAGAAAAUUUAAGAACAAAUUAAUUUGUUUCGUACUUGUAAUAGAUCUAGAUUGCGUCCAUCAAAAGUAAGCUGCCUUUCCACUGUUUUCUAUAAGCAUUUUAAAAAAAAAAAAAUUGUAUAUAACAGAUACAUAUAAAAACAAUACUCUUAAAAUAAUGUAAUAUACUUUAUAAAAUAAAAAUAUUUUAAUCAUUAUCGAGUUGUGCCUAUUAAAAUGUGAAAUCAACUUAGUUAAAAGUUUAUAAUAUAUAAUAUAGACUGAUUAUAAUUAUAAGACCAUUAAUGCACAUUUAAUUGAUUCAUAUUAUUUAUAUAUAAAAUAUUUACAAAGAAUUGAAUAAUUUCAUUUUGAAAUUUUAAGAAAAAUAAAAUAAUGAAAUUUAAUAUUUUAAUAAUCUUUUUUUUAACCUUUUUAUUUAAAAACAAUAUACUAUUUUUAAUUAUAAUAAAAAUAUUUCUUUAAUAUUCUUCAUGUCUAUUUUAUGUUUUGUAUUCAAAGUUCGUGACUAUUCUUUUAAAAAUAUAAUAUGUCUUACUAUUGUACACUAAAACUUAUUAAUAAUAUAUAAUUUUAUAUUAAUACUUAUAUAUUUAAAUUUAAAUAAAAUUUUAAAAUAUUUAAUUUAAAUUUAUAUCAAAUUUAAAUUUAAAAUCUAAAAAUCUUUAUUCAAAUUUGAGUCCGAGAAUGCAUAAUAUAUGUCCCAUUGGCAUGGGAGAAGUAUUAAAAGAAUUAUUUAUGGGUUAUUACCUCUCAAUCUUGAUCCAAGUUUGUUAGGAUUUCGACCCGAUUGAGCAACGAACAAGAAAAUAGCGAAAUAAAUUGAGAAAUUGAACACACAAAUUUAACGUGGAAAAAUCCCUCCAAAGAGGAUAAAAAACCACGGGCAAAGAUAAUUUUACUAUAAUGGAAAAAGAACGAAGAGUACAAAAAGAUGGUGAUAAAAACUAAACCCCAAAAACCCGAAAACAAAGAACCCACAAAACGUAAACACAAAAUUCUCUAAAUGUGUUAUGAGUUCUAAUCUCUAAUGGGUGUAUAUUCUAAGGUUAUAAAAGAGCCUAUUUAUAGGCUAAAUUCAUAGAUCAAAUAAUAAUAAAAAUAAUCUAAACUAAUCAGUGUUUGAUUGAAACAAGUAAACAGAGUUUAACUGAAAGAUUAUUUUUCAAAUUUGAUUGAAAAUAGGAGUCAUAUUUAACAAAUCUCCACCUUGACUCAUAUUUUCACAACGCCAUCUUUGCCAAAGCCCGCCACGAGCCUAUCUUGAACUAUGCAGGGAAUUAACUGAGUCGAAUUUGUGCUUAGAAACUGGAAGACUUCUAGCCUUCGACUUGUACACUGCCAAAUCAAAACUAACCCGGGUUUGAUUUUCACGAACACAGUGCCCUAACUUUUCAAAACCUGCAUCCAAAAGAGAAUCUCUCUUCAACGAAACGGUCAUACCUUUUUCCCUCCUAUGACCAAGUUGCCUCCGCUCCAAACGAGUUGACUUCGACUCUGUAACAGACAAGGGACUUCCAAUUUCAUCGGUCACUGUAAAACCUUCCAGAAUAUAAAGACUGCCGGUUCUUUUACUUUUUAACAAAACAAGAGCUCUACGAGAUACUUUAAUGCCGCUCGACUUGAUGUUGAUUCUGCAUCCUUUCAAGUCUAAAAUACUCAAAGAGAUGAGAUUCUUUCGUAAAUCAGGUACAUACCUGACAUCUGAGAGUGUCCUAAUUGUCCCAUCGUGCAUCUUAAUUUUAAUAGUACCAAUACCAAUUACCUUACUAGAUGAAUCGUUUCCCAUGCGUACAACUCCACCUUCAACUGAACUGUAUGUGGAGAACCAUUCUCUAUUGGGACACAUAUGGAAAGAACAUCUUGAAUCUAGGAUCCACUCAGGCAUGAGCUUGGAGUUAUCGCUCAUUGAAACUAAUAAGAAAUCAUCACCAUUUUCAUCGGCCAAAUUAGAACCAGCUACAUCUUCCUCGUUACUCUCAGCAGCUCUUUUAUUUCGCAGUUUAUAACAAUCUGCUUUGAUGUGACCUAACUUUUUAUAAUAGUGACACCUUUUGUCUCGUUUCUUUGAUGCUACCAAAACGGAAGCUUGCCUAUCUGCUUUGCUAUCCAAAUGAAGGUCAUUGUCGAGUUUGUCUCUACUCAACAAAUGACCCUUCACAUCUUCGAACGAGAGUUUGUCUCUGCCAUAAAUCAGGGUCUUCCUGAAAGACUUGUAUGAAGGGGGUAAAGAGCACAAUAAUAGCAUAGCUUGAUCUUCAUCAUCAAUAUGAACCUCAACGUUCUUUAAGUUAUUUAAAAGAGCAAUGAAUUGACUGCUGUGAUCUCUAAGAAGCUCACCUUCGUUCAUGCAAAACGUAAAUAGACGUUGUUUCAACAUUAAACGGUUAGCCAGAGACUUAGUCGCAUAAAGAGUUUCUAACCUUUUCCACAAGGCGGAUGAGGUUUCUUCAUCAAUACCUCCUACAAUACCAUAUUCGCGAGGCACAACUGGAUUGCAGACAAAGCCUUUUCAUCAAGCUCUUCCCAUUCUGUUUUAUUUAGAUUCUCAGGCUUUUUCUCGGUAACAACCUUUUUCAAGCUUGAUUGAACUAAAAUUGCCAUCAUCUGAACUUGCCACAGAUUGAAAAUUGUCUCACCAUCGAACUUCUCAAUUUCAAACCAUGUUGUUGCCAUCUCUGAAGGGGCUGAUCUAUGAAAAUUGAACUAGCUCUGAUACCACUUCUUAGGAUUUCGACCCGAUUGAGCAACGAACAAGAAAAUAGCAGAAUAAAUUGGAAAAUUGAACACACAAAUUUAACGUGGAAAAACUCCUCCAAAGAGGAUAAAAAACCAUGGGCAAAGAUAAUUUUACUAUAAUGGCAAAAGAACGUAGAGCACAAAAAGAUAGAGAUAAAAAUUAAACCCCGAAAACCCGAAAACAAAGAACUCACAAAACGUAAACACAAAAUUCUCUAAAUGUGUUAUGAGUUCUAAUCUCUAAUGGGUGUAUAUUCUAAUGUUAUAAAAGAGCCUAUUUAUAGGCUAAAUUCAUAGAUCAAAUAACAAUAAAAUAAUCUAAACUAAUCAGUGUUUGAUUAAAACAAGUAAACAGAGUUUAACUGAAAGAUUAUUUUUUAAAUUUGACUGAAAAUAGGAGUCAUAUUUAACAAAGUUGAAAUAAACUAUGAUGCAAAUUAAUCAUUGUAUUUUGUACUUGUUCUGAACAAACUUAUAUUAUAUUCUUUCAAUGAUUGCUUCUUACGUGGCCUUCCCUCCAUCACUUGGUUAAUGGCAAUCAAGUAAGGUUACUCAAAAAUAUUAGUAAAAAGAGCCAGAGAACCCAGCCAUCCCCAAAUUAUUAAUUUGUAUAAAAGAUUUAAUUAAAAGAAUAUAAACUUCCUUAAAUUAAAAUAAUAAACAAAGUCAACAGCUAACCAAUCAUUAUCUGUAAUUAGGUAUUUAUUUUUUCUCAUCAACCAUUCUUUCUUUCUUAUCACCUAACAUGUGCAAAAAAACCUAGAAAUUAAUGUUAUUUUCUUGCUUAAAUCUUUUUUUUAUUUUGUCCCCUUUUUCUACAUUGUUUGUCUCAAAUGCCUUUUUAAAACCUAGAAAGAAACUCCAGAUUAACAAAUUUAUAAACCCAGAAAAAAACAAAUUUAUAAACCCAAAAAAAUGGUUGGGUUGAAGAUACUAACUUUGACAGCUUUACUUUUUACUAUAAAGAUAAUACCAGUUUUAGACUCUAGUGUUCCCAUGUCUUUAUCAUUUCUAGCUCAAGCAUCGAAGAGAUUGCAAGUCAAUAUCGUAGCAUUUGAUAUUUCCAACUUUGUCAAUUGAACGGAAGAAAGACCAAAGUGGAAGAUAUUAUUGAAAGUCAUUUAAGGUACACAAAUCUUAAAAAUAUUUUUAUAUUUACUUUUAUUUUAAAAUUUAAUAAUUUUAAGAUAUUUUUAUAAUUAGGACUAAAAUGAUAAAUCUUGUAAACAUUGAAGAAUAAAUUUGUUGAAAUUUUUAGAUUUAAGAUCAAAUUUAUAGAAAACAUAAAUAUUGGAGGGUUAAAUUUUUUAUUAGGCCAAUAAAAUAAGGCCCACAUUAGACUUCUAUUAAGUAACUAAUGAAAGAGUAACUAAAAUAUUUAAUUUCGAAAAGUUGAGUGAUUAAAACGAAAAAAAAUAAUAGUUGGAUAACCAAAAUAAAACAAACUAAACUUUAUUUUAUCCUUACAAUUAAUUUUUUUCAAAACUAAUUGACUAAUCCUCAUUUAAUUAGCAUAAAUAUAUAUUUUUGAAAUUAUAAAAAUAUAUUAUUUAAUGAAUUAAAAACUAUAUAAAACUCAUGUGCAAUAUAUGUGACAUUAGAACUAGCUAGUACAUUUCAACUCAUACGCUUCUUCAUUAAAUUAAUUAGAUUGGCUUGAUUUUUUUCUAAUAAUAUUGAUUUUGUUAAUAUUUUAUUUCGGAUAUCCUGGCAAAGUUGUAAUCUUCAAUAUGGUAACCUUCAAUGAAAUUGUAAGGUUUUUAUAUUGUAAUUAAGUCUUUAUUUAUUCUUUUUAAACUUAAGGGAUUGUAUCCUAUUGAGUGCAUGAGUAUUAUUGUUAAUGUAAGAGCAUGUGGGUUUAAGUGCAUUAAAAUGCAUUAUUUUCUUAUUUAUGGGUUCAAAAGACAUUAUUAGUAGUUCUAAGUGUUAUCUUAAAAAGAGCCAUCCUAACCUGUAAUGGAUUUGGAAGGUACUGUUAGUAGGUUUAAAUAUUAUUAUUAUUUUUUAGUUUGUAUUGAUAUUUAUCUUUCUUUCAUUAUUUCAUAAAAUAUUUAAUUAUUUAUUAUUAAAUAAUAUUGGGAAUCAGUACAUAAACUACUUGCCAUAUUAAAUAGGCACUAAAAGACCCUUUUAUUCCUUUUAAGUUUUGAUCCAGCUCAGUGUCGAAAUAGUUUGAGUCUAAUGUAGCCAUCGGAUAAAAAAGAAAAACUCAAACGUACUAAUAUUAAGAGAGAAAAAAUAAUAUAUAAUGGCAUAAAUUCAGAAACUGUAGAUUCGGUGAAUUAUCUUUUCAUGAAAAGAUCCUUUGUCAAGUCCAUGCCUGCAAUUUCAGCUUGUAGGAUUACCUCCACAAUGUUUGAUUAAUCCUCAAACAAUGCAGCUUAAGACAUUGUUUUGGGGCUGAAAAACUUCCCCACCAUCCCUGGAUUCAAUAUCUUUAUGGCUUCCUCAGAUUUAAGCCAACAAGGUGGCUUGUAUUGGGAAAUGGAAGCUCCCUUUGAUGUAUAGAAAUCCAUGAGUUCAUCAAAGCUUCCAUGUUUAACCACCCUUAGCUCUAAAGCUGAAAUUGCACCAUCUUUCCUAAAUAAUUUAUACGUAAAAUCAACGGAUUCUUCCACUAUACAGCAGCAUUGAUCCAUUACCCUGGCAUCAAGUUUUGGUAAAUCAUUGCUGCCUUUCAUCUUCAGCUCCCAAAAUAAUACAUAUCGACCCGGUGUCGACGAGGUUUCGGAAUAGCUACUGUAUGCAGUCAACAUGAUGCCAAAUGGUUCGAGGAUGAGUUUUGCAUUCGUGAUUGCUUUCGAAAGGUCUUCUUCAGUUGUUUUGUCUCCAUCUAUACUCAAAACCACAUUCUGUCGUUCUACAAAUUAAAACUGUGGAGAUUUACUAUAGAAUCCGGUCACCUUCAGAACAUCUCCGACCCUGUACCGAUAUAGACCUGAAAAAGAUGAUUACAACACAUUUAGGUGCGCAGAAGAGGUAGUCAAUGUGAGACUUUUAACUGUGUCUCUUGAUGUAACCGACGUAUAGCUUUGAUGCCGAGUAAAAGAAACCUACCUGCCAAAGUUGUGACAACAACUUCGGAGUAUUGACCAAGCUUCACAUUCUCAAGAUCGACCGGUUUGUCUAUAGUCCUAGUUUCUUGAGCCUUUCCUCCACCAUAUUUGUUCACAGGGAGAAAUUCGAAGUAGGCCGUAUUUGGGAGAAAGGUGUAAGAAACGUCAAAGGGAUUGCUUAGGGGUUUCAUAUUGAUCCCGAAACAAGCUUCCGAAGAAACAUAACUUGGUGAAACUAAAGGGAUCCCUCCUCCAUAAAGUUCAAAUAAUGGAAUAUAUUGGCUCAUGCUACCUGUACAGAUUGAACUAAUAUACUUGAUUUUAGGCCAAAGUUUCUUAAAGACCCCUUCCCAAGAUUUAUCUUCACAUAUUUGUUGAAUCAAAUCAGCCAAUUCAGGGUUUGGCCCAGUAAGGAUCAAUGACAUGGCAUUUUUGCAACCAGGGUCAAUAAUCCAAUCCCUGAGGUAACCUGUUCUAAUGUUACAACAUAAUUCUCUCCAAUAAUCUUCUAAGAACUUGAUGGUCCUUGCCAAAACCGAUGCAAAGAUCGAACCGAGCCGUACGACCUCAUAUCGCUGUAGUAAACCGGUAAGCAGUUGGAAGAACAUAAUUUGCUUGUUGUCCAAACAUAAGAUGGUCUCAAUAGGACUUAUGCAAAACUUAGCCAGGCUAUUUUUGAAGGUAUUGGUCUUGGAAUAGAAUGUUGAGUAGGUUGAUGCCACUAAUCCAGAUGGAGUUUUCAUAUCUGGUUUGCUAAAAUAUAGGUAGAAUGAUUUGCCUUCAUCUAAGUCACUAAAACAUCUACCAAGAGAAAGGAAAAAAACAGUAAUUAGUUUGUUUGAUUAUGUGUAUCGUGAUUGCGGAUAUGGUAGUAAUUGCUACGAAUAUUGAAGGGGACAAAAACACAUGAAGUAAAGAUCUUAGCAUCGAAUUACGAUUGCUAUUGAUACUUCACUGUAAUUACGGAUAAUGAAAUGUACUUACUUUUUCACCACAAUGUCAGCCAGAAGACGAUGAUACUUCCCUUCCUCAAAACUCUCAAUUGUGAUAGGUAUUAACUUCUGCUGCCCCCCAGAAGUACCAGCGCUGUAUCCAAAAUUAAUGGAUUAUUUUGAAAGGGAAAAAGGUUUAAUUUUGAAUUUCCUCCCUCUACUUCACAAAAAUCAGGUACUCUAUUUUAAUUUUCCAGAAUUUGAUUAUAUAUACCUUCGGAUGAACUGGGUGAUGAGAUCAGCAAAAAGGAUCGACGAGGUCUCUCCAUUGGCAAUCCGAUCUAUGUAAGGCUUGAUAUCUUCAUAAGUAACGAUGGGAACAUUUGUUUUGAAGCUUUGCUUGUCUGCUUGGUCACUGGAGAAGAAUCUGGAUAGAUAUUCUGUUCCUGCAUUUCUCUUUAAUUAGUAUCUCCUCCAACAUUUGUUCUUGUAGUUCAUGAGCAUUGUUGGUUAAAUGUUCCAAUAUUUUCAUGCCAUUUUCAUAUAUUUCCUUUAUUUCUAUAACAAUUUUUUUUGGGAAGGGUAUUUAGUCCUCAAUACUUACAUUCUAUCAAUUUGAUCAUCAAAUACAUAUAAUUAAAUAUAAAUUAUAUAUUAUGAAAAAAUAUAAAAUAUAAAAUUAUUUUUAUAUAUUUAUUUAUAUAAUAUUAUAUGUGUUUAUAUUUAAUUAUAAUUAUAAGGCUCAAAUAUGCAUUUAUCGCCUCUUUCAAACUUGGCAUCUCACAAGUUGGUAUUUAUAAUUUUUUUUUGUUUCAAGUUAGUACCCAAAUUUUCAAUUCGUUAAGGGUUUUGUUUUUUUUUUUUUUUGUAACAAUGUUAAAUAUAGGACAUAUGAUACUCUUAGGUCGUGACACGUGGCAUUGAUAUGUCAUAAUCUAUUUUGUUUAUAAUUUUUUAAAUUUAAAAGAAAAUAUAUAAAAUAUAUAUGAAUGUCUUAAAAUAUAAAAGAAAUUAUAAAUUAUAAAAAAUAUAUGUAUCUAAAAAAUAAAAAAUAUUACAACAAAAAAAAAUCUAAAAUUUAAGUUAGAAAAAUCGAAAACCUAGAAAAUUUACAUAUUUUUUCUUAAUAAAUUGCAAAGAAAUUAGAUGAAGAUAAAUUUUACAAUAAAUUUUAUGCUUAGAGAUGGGUUUAAAUUAUUAUACAGUUCUUCAAGUUGACAAGAAUGCAAAAGAUGAUAAUUUGAAAAAAGCUAAUAGGAUACUUUUUCAUUUUUAUAUUUUCUUCAAGUUAUCAAUGAAGCUGUUGAAUUCCUUUGACCCAUUCAUCAACCCUACACAAUUGCUUCUUUCGCUUCUAUUCCUCACUACAUUGAAAUCGCCACCAAUGAUCCAUGAACAAGCAAACGAAUUCUUUAAGGCUAAGAGAUUCGCCCAUAAUAUAUUUUGCUCCGAAAUUGUAUUAGGUGCAUAAACGUUAAUCAGCACUACUUCUAUUCCUUUAGCCAACCAUUUCCCUACUACUACUAUAAACCUUUCUUCACAGAGAUCUUUAUCCACUUGAAAAUUACCUCUAUCCCAAAUCGUAACCAUACCUCCGAACGCCUGUUAGCUACCGAAAAUCUAUAAUUAAAGUUAUUGUUAAUCCGUAUUUUCCUUAUUAUGUCAAUAGUAAUUGUUUUUUACUUUCAUUUCCUAAAUAAAGCACAUAUUCGCCUUAGCCUUGCAUAAAACUCUUCUAACAUAUGAUAUCUUAGCUUCCGAGCCCAUACCUCUAAUGUUCCAAGAUACGAUUCUCAUACCUACUCAUCCCACUACAAAGCUACUAAAAUGACCAAGAUGACCCAUACAAAAACCGCACCUGUUUAGAUUCUGUACAGCCUUUGAAUUCCUUCGUUCCCUUAUGCUACAGCCCUUCCAACCUUAAUAUUUCAUCUUCAAUUUCACGUUCGUCCCCUCUUAUGCUAAAUCCCAACUUUUUUUUCCAACAUCCCAAGCUUUCUUCGCUUCCCCGAGGAUCAAUUUUCUUCUAUUGUUGAUGUCUGAAUUGGAAAGAGAAGCAUUUACAACCGCCUCCUCUCUCUCUGAUGUUCCUUUCCCUUUUUCUCUCCUUAAUGCCCAAUCUCUUUUCUUUUUCUCCGUUACUAUGAGGAUACAAUCCUGAAUUUUACACAUGGAACAAUUUUUUCUAUUCCGUGUUUUUUUCUUCUUCUUUAUUUGAUUUGGUAAAUCCUCGCCUAAUUUUACCCUAUCUUCUCUAUUCUCUUCUCCCAAAUCCAUUUUCUCGAAUUGAUCAAUUGAAAGAUUUAAUUUUGGGCUCCCUUUCGCUUUCAAUGUGUGGGUCUCUGAAAGUCUAGACCUGUGUUCGCUCCAUUUACGCUUCGGAUUUCCUGCCCCCAGCCUUAUCCUGCAUGUUUAAAUUGAUAGCUACUUGUGUCACGGGGCUAGAUCUUUCGUCUCGUGAUUCGUGAGGCCUUAAGCUAUCCGUUCGUCCAAACUCGCCUAAGUCAACCUUUACUCAAGUAAUGAUUCUUUUAGAACUCCUCCAAGGCACCAAUUUAUAUAACAAAAGCAAACUAUGCCAAAAGAAGCCACAAAGAACAACCAAAAGCCACAGAAAAGAACGGACACAAGGUGUUUGAGUAAAUGCUCUCAGAAUUCUAUUACUCUUAAGAAUUCAAGUUACAUUGGAUAGAAUGAGUACAAAUGAGGGGAGUCUCUCUAUUUAUAGUUAAGCUCCCUAAAAAUCAACGGUUAAGAUUACAAUACAUAGACAAACGAGAUUCAUCCUAUCCUUUAAAUCAUGGGAUUUACAAGAUAUGCCAUAUCAAAUCUAAUCUAAUUUUUACAAGAUAGGAUUCCAUAUAUCUUCUAAGAUUAGUUACCAAAAUAGCCUAAGUUGUCAUAUAUUCAUUAUCGAGCCAACUAGGCUUCAAUCUGACAGGCCUCUCCAACAAUUUACCGAAUCGGGCCAGUUCUUGUAGGCCAAAUGAUCCCCAUUUACGCAAUAGACCUCCAUCGGAUACAUUUGGUGUGAUGGUCACGGGCUUUGAAUUACAGCCCAUGACACUAGGCCCAUAUUAAUAACAUCUUCUCUAACCUAAUAACAACAUCUAUUAUCUUCCUCCUCCCCCACAUUGUUGCUAGCCCCAAACCCAUACAAUUGUUCCUCUUCCCCAUUUGCUUCAUUUUCCCACGUUCUCUGACGUCCAUCAUCAUCAUUUUCUUUCUCGAGGAAUAUUACAUUAAUUACUUCGUCAACCCUAUUUAUUCUCCCCUCUGAUGAUUUUUUUAGCCUCGUUCUUAGCACCGAUCCCGACUUAACUACAGUCUCAUCCUCAUUUUCUUAUUUUGAUUCCAUCCUCACCCUUUCUCUCUCUCUACUUUUCCCUUCGGUAUCAUCAAGCGAUUCUGACAAUCCCAUCUCCUUCACUCUAAUUAAAAAUCUCACUUGCCCAACUUUAUUAAUCAUUAAUCUAGUUUACUAGUUAAUUAAUUUCAUUAACUAAAAGCAAGUGGAUUUUCGUGAAUUUUUACUAUUUCAAUUCAAUUUAAUGGUUAGAUAAGCAUUUAGGACUUUUAGAUUAUUGCUAACUAGGUCCUUAAGUACUUUCUAAAUUAAAACUCAACAACAUUGGACAUUUAUAAUUUUGUCCAUGAGCAGUAAUUAAUUAUUUUUCGGUUAAAUUUCUUAACCGAUCUUCAAUAUAUUUUCACAAUAACUUCUUUAAACUUUAUAUGUCAUCCUCACAGACUCGGUUUAUGCAAAUACGGUUUCAAAACUGCAUUUUUCGACAACACUUAAAAUUAGGUCGCUACAAUAAGAUACUAGCAAUCUAUUACAAUUCAACCCUUCAGUAAUAGCAACUAUAAAAUAGUAGAAGCAAUAUGCUAAUAAAGACCAAUGUAAAAUGACAGUUGGAGCUUCAUUCUUAAAAGAAGUAGUCAAAUCAAUCUCGAUCAAUUAUCCACAAUUCGAGGGGUUUAAUUGUUUGAUCUGAACAAAUCCAAUCUCCAAAACUAAUUACUUGAAAUGGAUUAGUCUUCAAAGUUGAGCUUUCGUACAUUCAAAAUAUCAGCACAAUUCAAAGUUCAAAUAUUUUGUUUCAAUAAAUUUCCAACUCAAAAUAUGACAAGUUAAUGAACUGUCACAGGGAUGAUAGAAGUGGCCACUUUGAUUGGCACUUAGCAGGACAAUUCAAAAACUUAAUAUAGAGACUAAAUUGGUUCUUUUUAAUAGUAUAGGAUUAAAUUGAUCUAUUUAAUAAUAAAAGAACUAAUUUGACCUAAUUCCCAUAAUACAAGAACCUCUAGAUACUUUAACCUAGUUUAAAUAAAAGAAAAUAAGAAUAAAUUAUAUUAGGAUGAUCCUAAAAUAUAUAGUUUUUAGACACCAAUAAUAAGAUGUCACAUCAUCAACAUUUAAAAGUGUAAAAGUUAUUAUACAUACAUCCAUAUUAAAUAUCUUCUUUAACUUAAUUUAACUUUAACUUAAUCACUUAACAAAUUAAAGAAUUAAUAAAUAAAGAAACAUGUUUUCUUCUUUUUUAACAUUAAAUCAUUUUAGUUUUUUUUUUUAAAAUUUAGUCUUCUUCUAUUUUUUUGCUUUCAAAUCACGUUUUAUUUUUAUGUAGUGAAUUUUUUUAUUCUUUUUCUAAUUCUAUUUUUAAAUUUUUAAUCAAAUUUCAGAAUUUGAUAAAACCACUAAUGGUGGAUAUAAUUUUUCAAAUUUUGAUUUUUUACUAGUAUAUUUUUUUCUAGAUUUUUAAUUGUUGAUUUUAGGUUUUUUUUUGAAUUUGUACUUACGAUGUUUAUCAGUUUUUAUUUUUAUUUUUAAUUAAUGAUUUAAGUAUUUUCAAAUAUUAUUUAUUUUUUGUUAUGUUUUUUCUAGCAUAUAGUUUCAACAUUUCCCCCAAUUUUUUAAUUAUUUUAAUUAAAGUUCAUUUAAAUUAGAGAUGAUAUCGUAUGUGAUAUUAGUUUUCAAAGUUAGUAAAACAUUGUCUUUUAUUUCCCUUAAAAGAUAUUAUAUUUAAAUAAAGUGAUGGUGCAUAAGUUUUACAUACAAUAAACAAAUUACAUCAUAAUGUUGAAUAAAAGCAGAUGAAGAAAAUGCAAAAACUUUUAAAUAAAUAUUAAAUUAAACUUAUAUAAAUUUAUUAAUAUUGGUAGAUUUGACAACUUUUUCAUUGUACUUAGUAAGUCCGACUUCGUAAUAAAUAAUGUAAAAGACUAUUACGUAGAACCAAAACAAACAAGUUAUCUAACUUGGAAAAUAAAAUCAACAAGUCAUCUGCACAUGCUGAGAAAUAAAUCUAAAAUCAGUAUGCAGUAAGGUGAGAAAACUCAAAGGAUGGUGCCUAUAGAUACAAGCUACUCAUAAAAGCAUUUGGAUCACACAAAACAAAAAACAGCUUUUACCAUACUAAACAAAAUGUCUUCUCCAAUUUCUACAAAUCUUGUUCCAUCUCAGCAUAGUAACACCUCCAAGGAAAAUCGUCAUUUGUCCAAAUUUAAACCUAGCUUUUGGGGGGACAUUUUCCUCUCUUCUCCUUCUCAAAUGGUAUAUUCGGGCGUAUGAUAAUCACUUUUAAUUUGUGUUUGUGUGACAUUAUUAUUUAGAUUUGAUGUAAGUGCUAAUAUGUAUUUCAUACAAAUGUAUUCUAAUUUUCAAAACUUUUUUCGUAAUUGAAGUACAUCUGUUCUCAUUUCAAUGUGUCGGAUACAUGCAUGUGAAUAAUUUAAAAUUAAUAUAAAGCUUUACAUUUGAAUAGCAAAUGGAUGCUGGAACUCAACAAGAGUACGAAGAAUUGAAGCAAGAAGUGAGGAGAAUGUUAGUGGCAAAUAUGGAUAAAUCGUCCCAAAAGUUGCAUAUAAUUGAUGCAGUCCAACGCUUAGGUGUGGCUUACCAUUUCGAGAAAGAGAUAGAAGAGGCCUUGGAAAUUAUAUACCAUCAUCAUUGCAAUCAUAUUGAGAUAGAUGGUGAUGAUCUUUACACUACUGCUGUUCGGUUUCGCCUGCUAAGAGAGCAUGGUUUCGAUGUUGAUUGUGGUAUGUCUUAGUUUUUUAAAAGCAAAUCUGGUAACAAAAAAGGUUAUGGAAUUUAAAUUGGUUUAAAUAUGUUAAAGGUUAUUGUAUUCUUUUAAAACCUAAAUUUUAGUCUCUAUAUUUUAAUUUUGAGACCUUAAAUCCCUGUUUUUUUAAAUUUAAAAAUCUUAGUACUUCCAUCUAUUUUUGUUGUGAAAGUUAACAGCGUCAAAAGUGAAAUAACCAUUUUUUAAUCCUAAAAAAUACUAUAAAUAUUGAGGGCUAAAAAUAUUAUUUUACCUUUGAUACUUUAAUGAAAAAAUUAGAUAGAAGCACCAAGAUUUUUAAAUAAAAAAAUUAAGGGAUUCAAUUUCUUAAAAUUAUAAUGCAUGGACUAAAUUUUAAAUUUCAAAAAAAUACAUAGACCUUUAGCAUAUUUAAACCAUUUAAAUUUUUAGACACGCUAGAUACCACAAUUUAAGGACCGUUGAAAAACCGAACCACACUAGUCUUUGGGACCUAUUGGUCUAAGAAUAUGUAGUUGGUUCAAUCCAGAAUUAUCAUGAUUUUCUAAUCAUAAAAAAUCAACAAGAAAAUUCUUAAAAUCUUUAAAAUUUCAAUAAAAAAGAGGUUAAAAUUCUUAAAAUCUUUAAAAUUUCAAUAAAAAAGAGGUUAAAACUUUCCAUAAGUCUCUAUACUCUUUAUAAAUUUAGAAUUUAGUCCCUAUACUUUUAUUUUCUAUGAAUUUAGUUCUUGUACUUUUCAAAUUUUAAAAUUUAAGUCCAAUUGUUAACAUUGUUAACUUUUUGUGGUUAAAUUUUUAAGUGUGACAUUUAACAAAAUAAUAAACUUCAAUUUAACAAAAAAAAACCUGACGUAGUAAAAUUUUAAUAAAAUAAUAAAAAUUUCUCACUCGGUAGUUAAGUAAAAAAAUGACGUAGUAAUAAACUUAAAUUUAACAAAAAGAAUUUUAAUAGUAUCAACAAUUGGACCUAAAAUAUUAAAAUAUAAAAAGUAGAGAAAUUAAAUUCUUAAAAAUAAAAUGAUAGAGACUAAAUUAGAGAUUCAUGAAAAGUAUAAGAACUUAUGACAUAUUUUAACCAAAAAAUUAAUAUAUGUGAUUAGAUUUUAACUUUCAACCUUUAAUUAAUUUUUAGUUUUGAAUAUAGUAUAAAGACAUGGCAGCUGUCUGACCACACUAUGGAGUUUUUUAAUUUACCCAUAGCGGACAGACGGGUCAAUUGUCCUUAAUCAAAUAUAUAUUUUAUUUAAUAUUUAUUAUAUUUAAUACUUAUUUUAUAUUAAAUUUUUUAAUAUAAUCAAUUGAUUUAACCAGUACGACGGAUUGAACUAUUUCAGUCCAAAAUUAGAGUACUCACCAUUUUAACUGAACUUGAUAUUUUAAAUAUUAAAUUGUAUGAACUAAGUGAACUAAGCAAACUAAACAUUAGAUUUUAAGUUACUGUAAUCUUGAACAAACCAAUUUUAUUAUUGAAUACAAAUUUGUAAAAUCCUUUUAAUAAAAUUAUAAUUGAAUUAAAAGGUGAUUACAUUUUGAAAUCCGAAUCCUUCCAUAAAUAUAUUUUAAAUUUACAAAGUGGAACUUAGAAAAUAACGUCUCAAAAUUGUUUGACGAUUAAGCAGCGACAUUUAACAAAUUCAAAGAUGAGAAUGGAAAUUUCAAAGAAUCUUUAAUUGGUGAUGUGAAAGGCAUGCUAGAAUUGUAUGAAGCUGCACACUUUCAACUACAUGGAGAAAAUAUAUUAGAAGAAGCCCUUUCCUUCACUACAUUUCAUCUGAAGUUGGCAGAAACUACAUUAGACUAUCCUCUCUCCACACAAAUUGCUAAUGUUCUAAAGCGACCCCUUCGCAAGAGCUUGCCGAGCUAUGAAUAAAACUCUUAUUCAUAGCCUAGCCAAUACACAUAUCUACUAAUAUAUAUAUAUAUAUCAUAAUUUCUUCUUCUUGUUUUAGGUGGUGGAAAGAUUUAGAUGUUGCGACCAAUUUUCCUUUUAUAAGGGAUAGAUUUGUGGAAUGUUAUUUUUGGAUGUUGGGUGUAUACUUUGAACCCCACUACGCGAUUGCUAGAACUUUUGUGACCAAAGUGAUAUGCCUCAUAUCAAUUUUGGAUGAUAUUUAUGAUGCAUAUGGCACAUAUGAAGAACUUGAAAUCUUUACAAAAGCAAUCCAAAGGUCGUAUAAAACAUAUAUCCACUUUUACUUCAAAUCAUUAGAAGUAAAUGCUUUUUAUUGAAUUGAAUAAUAGAGAGAAUUGACCAUUUGAAUGGAUGAUAUAUUGAUAUAUUGUAGGUGGGAUACCAACUGCAUUGAUCAACUUCCAGACUACAUGAAAUUGUGGUAUAGUGAAACCUUAAAGGUUUAUAAAGAUAUGGAAGAUUUGAUGUCCAAAGAAGGAAAAUCAUAUCGCGUCCAAGUCGCAAUAGAAGCAGUAUAUCUGAUUUUUACUCUCUUUUUUUCUUGAAAAAAAUUCUUAUUUUGGAAUGUUAAUCAGCUACAUUGGUUGGUUUUUGCUAACUUUUUGUUACUUUGUUUGUUAAUAGAUGAAACGACAAUCUCAAGUUUACUAUGUUGAGGCCAAAUGGUUGCAUGAAAAUUACAUACCAACAAUGGAGGAGUAUAUGCCGAUUGCAUUACUCUCUUGUGGUUAUUGGAAUCUUACGAUGUCAUCUUUUGUUGGCAUGGAAGAUAGCAUAACAAAAGAGACAUUCAAUUGGGCAUUUAAUGACCCUAAGAUUGUCAGAGCUUCAAGCACUAUCUGUAGGCUGAUGAGUGAUAUUGUUGACCACAAGGUACAAUAAAUUAUUUGUUUAUUUUUAUUAUCUGACACAGCUCUACAUUAGCUCAAAUUAAUUUAUGUUUAUUGUAGGUUGAGCGAGAGAGAGGACAUGUUUCCUCAGCAGUGGAGUGUUACAUGGAACAAUAUGGGGUGUCAAUGCAAGAGGCAUACGAUGAGUUAUACAAGCAAAUAAACAAUGCUUGGAAGGAUAUAAAUGAAGAGUUUUUGAAACCAACAGCAGCACCAACAUCGGCUCUUAAUCGAAUUCUAAACCUUGCAAGGGUCAUUGAUCUCCUUUACACGGGCGAAGAUGCUUAUACGCAAGUUGGGGAGUCAGCAAAAACUAGCAUCACUGCUUUGCUGAUAGAUUCAAUCCCAAUUUGAUCAAGAAUUUAAGGUUCAAAUGAACAUGAACUCACUUUUGAAAAGUGACAUUCAGAAGAUUAUUCUCUUAUCCUCAAGUUGUCAGCUCAUUUGCAAAAUAAAUAAUUACUUGUCAGUGUGUUGUUUUAUGCUGCUCUUCAAUCUCUUGGCAUGUGCUGGAGUUUUAGAGUUGUCUAGUGUCACUGGGAUUGUGUUUGUGUAUGCGUCCAUUGUCGUUGUCUUUUAGUGAUGGUCAUGUUGCUUUAAAUUCAAUUAGCUCUUGUUUAAUUGUGUAUUAUGUGUUGUCUCUUUUGUAUUAAUAAAACUUAAUGAAGGUUCAUUAUCAGAUUUAAUUCCCAAAUCCAAAACAAGAAAAGUGAGCUCCUUGUUUUAUUAUGUAUUGUCUCUUAGUUUUAUGGGAACUAUACUUUUUUUUUUGUUGGAUGAGAAGCUAGAUUUGUUUCUAUGGGAGGUGCACGUGAUGCUUACUUAAUCCUCUGUGCAAGGGCGAAACCAGGGGGCAAGCAUGGGCCCCGGCCCCCCUAAAAUAGGAAAUUUUCAUUUAGGCCCUUUAGAUUUUUUUAAAAUUUUAAAUUAGUAAAGGUAAAAUUGUACUUUGGCCCCCCCUAAAAUUAUAAAAAAAUUAAUUUAAUCCUUUAAAAAUUAUAAAUAUAUAGACUAUAAAAAUUAAAAUUUCAUUCGGCCCCCCAAAAAAAUUUUUCUGGCUUCGCUCCUGCCUCUGUGGUCUUGAAGGUUUUUUAUUUUAUUAAUAUUUUAGGUUGCUAUCCUAAGGUGUGUUUUCAGGUGUAAUUUUAUAAUAAUAUGGUUAACACGAUGCCGAGUGGUUCAAGGACAAGUUUUGCUUUCAUGAUUGCUUUCGAAAGGUCUUCUUCAGUUGUUUUGUCCAAAUCAAUACUCAAAACCACAUUUUGUCGUUCAACAAAUUGAAACUGUGGAGAUUUAUUAUAGAAUCCGGUCACCUUGAGAACAUAUCCGAUUCUGUACCGAUAUAGACCUG
rnacentral:lncRNA from 1 species